rnacentral:sRNA from 1 species
AGAACAAAAGAAGAAACAAU